rnacentral:lncRNA from 1 species
AAAAAGUUACGCCACGUCAGCUGCCCUGACCAACUAGGACGCGCCAGAUGGCAGAGACGCUGACGCGGGAGGCCACUGGAGGGGACAUGUGGGCGAUCCGCGUGUACGCGAUCGAACAGCUGAGAUCCUUUUCCGCACGCAAGGACGACCCAGAUAAAAAAUGCGCACGGACGGCCCAGAUUGCAUUGCGCACGGACGUCACAGAUUAAAUCGCGCACAGACGACCCCAGCUUGAAUUGCGAUGAACGGCCCAGAUUAAAAGCGGAUGAGUAUAAAUAAUCUCGUUCGCACCCAAACCCUAAUCCUAGUCGCCAGAACCCCUCGACGGAGAAGACAGCCCAGCCGCCGGGGAGCUAAUCGCCGUCACCCGUUGCCGUACCAGAGCAAUUCCCGAUCGCUAAACGAGGUAAAAAUUUCUCUUUUUUCACGAAAUUCAAUUUUAAACGCACUCAUGGCCAAAUCAGAGUGAAAGAAU